CGGGUGAGUAACACGUGGAUAACCUACCUAUAAGACUGGGAUAACUUCGGGAAACCGGAGCUAAUACCGGAUAAUAUAUUGAACCGCAUGGUUCAAUAGUGAAAGACGGUUUUGCUGUCACUUAUAGAUGGAUCCGCGCCGCAUUAGCUAGUUGGUAAGGUAACGGCUUACCAAGGCAACGAUGCGUAGCCGAUCUGAGAGGGUGAUCGGCCACACUGGAACUGAGACACGGUCCAGACUCCUACGGGAGGCAGCAGCG
rnacentral:rRNA from 1 species